rnacentral:sRNA from 1 species
CGAGGCCUCUGCGUCCUCUGCGGCCUCCCCGCGGCAGGAAAAUCGACUUUCGCGCGCGCCCUCGCCCACCGUCUGCGGCAGGAGCAGGGUUGGGCCGUCGGUGUCGUCGCGUAUGAUGACGUCAUGCCCGACGCGUUUCUCGCCGGGGCAAGAGCGCGACCGGCGAUUCAUUGGGCUUUUGCCAGCUCUUUUUAGAUUGUCCUCUUGAGACCUGUUUACAGAGGAAUGGCCAGAGGCCACAGGCACUGCCUCCUGAGACCAUCCACCUGAUGGGAAGAAAGCUAGAAAAGCCCAACCCUGAGAAAAAUGCUUGGGAACACAACAGCCUCACAAUUCCGAGUCCAGCAUGUGCUUCAGAGUCCAGCCUGGAGGUGACUGAUUUAUUGCUCACUGCUUUGGAAAAUCCAGUAAAAUAUGCUGAGGACAAUAUGGAACAAAAGGACACAGACAGAAUUAUUUGUUCAACUAACAUUCUUCAUAAAACUGAUCAGACACUCCGAAGGAUUGUAUCUCAGACAAUGAAGGAAGCAAAAGAUGAACAAGUGCUUCCUCACAACUUGAAGCUUCUAGCAGAAGAACUUAACAAGCUCAAAGCAGAGUUUUUGGAAGACCUAAAACAAGGAAACAAAAAAUAUCUGUGCUUUCAUCAAACCAUUGACAUAUCAGAUGUCAUUUCUUUUUUUCAUUAUGAGAAAG